AAAGCGCCGCCGACGCGGGCCCCUAACGUCCAGGCUUGAGAUACAGCCCGGGCGGUUAUGGCGGACCCCGGCAGUUGCCCAUUCUUGACUACUGACCCAGUUGCCUCGGCGGGCCGUUCCGCCCGCGGCCGGCCGGAAGCCCCUCUAGACCUGACGGUCUGGGCGGCCCUGGUCUGCGCCCGCCGAAGGACAGUUAAAAAAUCUAUAUAUAUUGGCCGUCUGAGCGUAUAAAGCAAAAUCAAU
rnacentral:misc_RNA from 1 species